rnacentral:lncRNA from 1 species
AAUAAAAUUGAAAAUGGAAAUGGGGAAUGUGCCAAAGAGACAACAACCCGACCAUAGAAAAAAAAAAACAAAAAAAAAAAACAAAAAAAAAAAACAGAAGGUCACCAACAGGUCUUCAAUGUCGCGAAAAAUUCCCGCACCCGGAGGCGUCCUUAAGCUGGCCCCUAAACAAAUACAUACUAGUUCAGUGAUAAUGAACGCCAUACUAAUUUCCAAAUUGUACACAAG